GGAACUCCAUUAUGACUAGGAAAUUCUACAUUAAACGUAAAACAAAUUAAGCAUAAAUAUUCUUAAGUAAAUUGAUGAGGAAGUUUGGGAGAAGCAUCUUCGAUGAGGCCUUUGCAAUUGAAAAUUUUUCUAACGGUAAUAAAGAAUCUCACAUAAUGAUAAUAUGGUAAACAUGUAGAAAUAUAUAUAAUUUAUCUUUCGUACUCUCUCUAAACAAACACCAAACAACAGCUGGGAGAAAUUAUAACCAGGACAGUGUUCGCCCCGUCAUUGAUGAACCAAAAUAAUUAAAACUCAACAGAUAACCUCAAACCACACUAGUUCAUUGGACCAUGUUUAGGGAAGUAGUGGUUUGUAUUUGUCUCUAUCAAAGGGGUGUUUAAAUUUCGGGGAUUAGGGAUUUUUUUUAGCAAUUCUUUUGCAUGUAACACUUUUUCGCUCAUUCCGAUUCCUCCUAAACCUCUCCCCAAAUCUUUAUAUUCUAAUAGAAGAGACCCCACAGACUCCCAUCUCUCUCUCUAUAUAGCUGCUUCCUCUCUCCUUCGUCCUUGCUUCUUCCUCGCACUUUCGGUAUAAGAAACUACACAGAAGAGUCCCUAAGGCCUAAAACUUCUCCAGCCGGGGACUGGAGAAUAGGCAAUGCAAAGGAGAACACAUAACACCCAUUUAAUGAUAUCCCUUAUCAUUAUAUAAUAACUUAAUAAGCAGUAAUAGGCUAGUUUCCUUACAAAUGUACUUAAACAGAUUCAGUCUCUUGUGAAUUCAAUUUGAUAUGAAACGAGGUGAAGCGACCGGGGCCGGGGGUAAGCCUAUCCCCGUCCCGUCCCUGGUAACUCACCGGCGUUAUAUCCCGAAGCGGGGCGAUGUUCUAAAGCGCAUCUUGUCCCGCCUCUUCCUCUUUCCGUCGCGGGGCUGCAUCGCCAGGGGGAAGGUGUGCCCCUCACAUAGUGGUGAUCAAAAGCAGGAAAAAGGGAAGGGCUAAUAAUUGUUGUACCAUUUCCUUGCAGGUUG
rnacentral:lncRNA from 1 species